UACGUAGGGGGCAAGCGUUGUCCGGAAUUAUUGGGCGUAAAGCGCGUGUAGGCGGCUCGGUAAGUCUGCUGUGAAAGUCCAGGGCUCAACCCUGGAAUGCCGGUGGAUACUGUCGAGCUCGAGUCCGGAAGAGGCGAGUGGAAUUCCUGGUGUAGCGGUGAAAUGCGCAGAUAUCAGGAGGAACACCAAUGGCGAAGGCAGCUCGCUGGGACGGUACUGACGCUGAGACGCGAAAGCGUGGGGAGCAAACAGG
rnacentral:ncRNA from 3 species